rnacentral:sRNA from 1 species
AUCAAUAAGCGGAGGAAAAGAAACCAACAGGGAUUGCCCUAGUAACGGCGAGUGAAGCGGCAACAGCUCAAAUUUGAAAUCUGGCUCUAUUUUGGAGUCCGAGUUGUAAUUUGUAGAGGGCGCUUUGGCGUCGGCAGCGGUCUAAGUUCCUUGGAACAGGACGUCACAGAGGGUGAGAAUCCCGUAUGUGGUCGCGUGCCUUCGCCGUGUAAAGCCCCUUCGACGAGUCGAGUUGUUUGGGAAUGCAGCUCUAAAUGGGAGGUAAAUUUCUUCUAAAGCUAAAUACUGGCCAGAGACCGAUAGCGCACAAGUAGAGUGAUCGAAAGAUGAAAAGCACUUUGGAAAGAGAGUCAAAAAGCACGUGAAAUUGUUGAAAGGGAAGCGCUUGCAGCCAGACUUGCCUGCGGUUGCUCAUCCGGGCUCUCGCCCGGUGCACUCUUCCGUAGGCAGGCCAGCAUCAGUUUGGGCGGCUGGAUAAAGGCCUCUGUCAUGUACCUUCCCUCGGGAAGGCCUUAUAGGGGAGGCGUAAUGCAGCCAGCCUGGACUGAGGUCCGCGCAUUUGCUAGGAUGCUGGCGUAAUGGCUGUAAGCGGCCCGUCUUGAAACACGGACCAAGGAGUCUAACAUCUAUGCGAGUGUUUGGGUGUCAAGCCCGGGCGCGCAAUGAAAGUGAACGGAGGUGGGAACCCUUUGCGGGGUGCACCAUCGACCGAUCCUGAUGUCUUCGGAUGGAUUUGAGUAAGAGCAUAGCUGUUGGGACCCGAAAGAUGGUGAACUAUGCUUGAAUAGGGUGAAGCCAGAGGAAACUCUGGUGGAGGCUCGCAGCGGUUCUGACGUGCAAAUCGAUCGUCAAAUUUGGGCAUAGGGGCGAAAGACUAAUCGAACUAUCUAGUA